CCUACGGGAGGCAGCAGUGGGGAAUAUUGCACAAUGGGGGAAACCCUGAUGCAGCGACGCCGCGUGAAGGAAGAAGUAUUUCGGUAUGUAAACUUCUAUCAGCAGGGAAGAAAAUGACUGUACCUGACUAAGAAGCCCCGGCUAACUACGUGCCAGCAGCCGCGGUAAUACGUAGGGGGCAAGCGUUAUCCGGAUUUACUGGGUGUAAAGGGAGCGUAGGCGGUUUAGCAAGUCAGAAGUGAAAGCCCGGGGCUCAACUCCGGGACUGCUUUUGAAACUGUUGAACUAGAGUGCAGGAGAGGUAAGUGGAAUUCCUAGUGUAGCGGUGAAAUGCGUAGAUAUUAGGAGGAACACCAGCGGCGAAGGCAGCUUACUGGGCCGUGACUGACGUUGAGGCUCGAAAGCGUGGGGAGCAAACAGGAUUAGAUACCCCAGUAGUC
rnacentral:rRNA from 1 species